GGGAACUGCUGUCACCAUUAGCUUGGAAUGGAAUUUGUAUUUUGACAAAAGAUGCAGACAUUUAAAGACCCGUUGAAGUACUCGAUUCACACAUGCAGCGCCAGUAUAUAAUCAUCAAGUUUGAUGAAACGUCCUAAUAUGUAGAUGUAGAUGCUAAGUCAUUCAGUCACUUAGCUUGUGAGAAUGGAAUGCUCACAAAAAGGACAAGAGCUCAGAGCUGUAUGGAAAUUUAAACAAAGGGUCAGUUAACAGAGUUUGCAAAUAUGGAGGAUAAUAUAUCAAAGGCAGCAUAGGCGUCCAAACUCCUGUUCAAGGUGCUUUUAAUCAGAAGCUUAAGAGACAAAAGACGAGCCAUUGACAAGGCAAAACUGAAUGUUUUAUAUGAAAUUGAGCAAGAAAAGUUUGAAGUGUAUUUGGGAAUGAUCAACAUAAAACUUUCUGAGCUUUUGAAGCCGUCGUACCAAAAGUGAAUCCAUUCGUGACACCAAUUAUCUGACCACCCUCUAGCAGAACCAGUGAGGAAGUGAUUCUAGCCAACAUUUCAGAAGCUUAGGACCUUCAAUAAUUAGGAUCUUGGGGCAUGUUGGGGGAAAAUAGCAUUUGUUGAUUUUAUGGGAUCUUCCAAAUAUAGUUGUGUAGUAGAUAUUUGUGUACUUAAUACCUAUGUUUGUCACUCUAGUCAUAAAGUUUGUAUGGUAAAUGUAUAUGGACCACUGGAAGAUCAUUGUAACUGUAUACAAAUGUUGCAAAUAUACCCUGUUAAGGCUUUAGUGACCUUUCCCAAGGUCAUUUAAUGAAGCAAAAGGUCAUAAUUAAUGUUUUUUUUUUUAAAUCUAUUUUGUUUUAUUAUCAAAAAAUGUCAUAUGUUUGAGAUUACUCUAGGUACAAAGGAUUUUCUUUAACCAAAAGUCAUUUGUUUC